rnacentral:rRNA from 1 species
GACGAACGCUGGCGGCGUGCUUAACACAUGCAAGUCGAACGGUGAAGCGCUUGCCUUUUUGGUGGGUGUGGAUGAGUGGCGAACGGGUGAGUAACACGUGAGUAACCUGCCCUCUUCUUCUGGAUAACCUCAUGAAAGUGGGGCUAAUACGGGGUAUUCCGGGUCUGUCGCAUGGCGGGUUUGGGAAAGAUUGCGCCUUUGGGUGUUUCCGGUGGGGGAUGGGCUCGCGGCCUAUCAGCUUGUUGGUGGGGUGAUGGCCUACCAAGGCGGUGACGGGUAGCCGGCCUGAGAGGGUGGACGGCCACACUGGGACUGAGACACGGCCCAGACUCCUGCGGGAGGCAGCAGUGGGGAAUAUUGCGCAAUGGGCGCAAGCCUGAUGCAGCGACGCCGCGUGAGGGAUGGAGGCCUUCGGGUUGUGAACCUCUUUCGCCAGUGAAGCAGGCCUGCUCCUGUGUGGGUGGGUUGACGGUAGCUGGAUAAGAAGCGCCGGCUAACUACGUG